rnacentral:snRNA from 1 species
GUGCUUGCUUCGGCAGCACGUAUACUAAAAUUGGAAUGAUACAGAUAAGAUUAGCAUGGUCCCUGCGCAAGGAUGACAUGCAAAUUCCUGAAGCGUUCCAUUUAAAA